UACGUAUGGAGCAAGCGUUAUCCGGAUUUACUGGGUGUAAAGGGAGCGCAGGCGGUCUGGCAAGUCUGGUGUAAAAGGCAGUGGCUCAACCAUUGUAUGCAUUGGAAACUGGUAGACUUGAGUGCAGGAGAGGAGAGUGGAAUUCCAUGUGUAGCGGUGAAAUGCGUAGAUAUAUGGAGGAACACCGGUGGCGAAAGCGGCUCUCUGGCCUGUAACUGACACUGAGGCUCGAAAGCGUGGGGAGCAAACAGG
rnacentral:rRNA from 1 species